UUAUUUUAGCGGCGGACGGGUGAGUAACGUGUGGGCAACCUGCCUUUUACUGGGGAAUAAUCGUUGGAAACGACGACUAAUACCGCAUACGGUUCUUAGAAGGCAUCUUCUGAGAAAGAAAGGAUUAAUUCGGUAAAAGAUGGGCCCGCAUCUGAUUAGCUAGUUGGUGGGAUAACAGCCCACCAAGGCGACGAUCAGUAGCCGACCUGAGAGGGUGACCGGCCACAUUGGGACUGAGACACGGCCCAAACUCCUACGGGAGGCAGCAG
rnacentral:rRNA from 1 species